rnacentral:rRNA from 1 species
GAUGAACGCUGGCGGCGUGCUUAACACAUGCAAGUCGAACGGGAUCCAACGGCUGCUUGCACUUUUUGGUGUGAGUGGCGAACGGGUAAGUAAUACGUGAGUAACCUGUCCUUUUCUUUUGGAUUCGCAUUCCUAAGGGUGUUUACUACCUUAUGUUCUGUCUGCCUCGUAUGGGUUGGGUGGUUAAGGCUUUUGCCGGAUUUGGGUGGGCUCGCGGUCUAUCAGCUUGUUGGUGGGGUGAUGGCUUCCUUAGGCUUUGACCGGUAGCGGGCGUGAGAGGGUGGGCGGUGACAAUGGGACUGAGAUGGGGGGCAGACUGCUGCGGGAGGCAGCGGGAGGGAAUAGUGCAGAAUGGGGGAAAGCCUGAUGAAGCGAGGCCGCGUGGGGGAUGAAGGCGUACGAGUGGUAAACGUCUUUAGAUCGGAACAGGGCAUGCCAGAGGGUGUGUUGAGUGUAGGGGUUGAGUAGCGCCGGCUAACUACGUG